rnacentral:tRNA from 1 species
GUCCCUGUAGCGCAAUGGAUAGCGCAUUGGACUUCUAAUCCAAAGGUCGUAAGUUCAAAUCCUACCUGGGAUG